rnacentral:rRNA from 1 species
CGUGACGUUAACAACAGAAGAAGCACCGGCUAACUCCGUGCCAGCAGCCGCGGUAAAUACGGAGGGUGCGAGCGUUAAUCGGAAUUACUGGGCGUAAAGCGCACGCAGGCGGUUUGUUAAGCUAGAUGUGAAAGCCCCGGGCUCAACCUGGGAUGGUCAUUUAGAACUGGCAGACUAGAGUCUUGGAGAGGGGAGUGGAAUUCCAGGUGUAGCGGUGAAAUGCGUAGAUAUCUGGAGGAACAUCAGUGGCGAAGGCGACUCCCUGGCCAAAGACUGACGCUCAUGUGCGAAAGUGUGGGUAGCGAACAGGAUUAGAUACCCGAGUAGUCCACACCGUAAACGCUGUCUACUAGCUGUGUGUGUCUUUAAGGCGUGCGUAGCGAAGCUAACGCGCUAAGUAG